rnacentral:rRNA from 1 species
UACGUAGGGGGCGAGCGUUGUCCGGAUUCAUUGGGCGUAAAGCGCGCGUAGGCGGCCCCGCAAGUCGGCCGUGAAAUCUCCGGGCUCAACUCGGAGGGGUCGGGCGAGACUGCGGGGCUCGAGGUGGGUAGAGGGCAGUGGAAUUCCGGGUGUAGUGGUGGAAUGCGUAGAGAUCCGGAGGAACACCAGUGGCGAAGGCGGCUGCCUGGGCCUGGCCUGACGCUGAGGCGCGAAAGCGUGGGGAGCGAUCCGG